CUCAGGCAAAUGGUGUUGUCCGGAAAUUCCACUGGUUUUUCUCACCUAGUCUUUCUCUCUCCACCAGGUUGUUGGUUCACUAUUUUCCAUUUUCCUUUCUCUCUUGUCCCUGGUUCUCUGGAACCUCCUCAUGAGGAAUGGUCCAUUCUCAGCUGAUUGGUGUCCCCCUGCCUGUGACCUCAAGGGGGUUUAUUGGGAAACAACAGGAUGGAAAACUGAGAGAGAAGACUCUGACUGGCAGAGUGCUACGCAUUCAACAUCUUGGUGUGGUGGUAGCUAUUGUCUGGGUUUGGUGGUACUCCUAUACACACUUGGAUUCCAGAAGGAUUCACCCAUUCCUGCCAUGACUCCCAUCCCAACAACAAGCCUGGGAGAAUGCAGAUAUCGAGACUGUGCUAAAACAACAAGAUGUUCUGCCAAUUUGAGGACAAAUUGGGACACUUGCAACCCAAGCAAAACAAAGAAUGGACAAGCAACAACUUAUACCUCCUGAUUGCACUGCUACCUUAAUUCUUGCCAUGGUAGCCAUUUCAUCUGUACUCCCUGGUAUUUCUGCCAUUGAAAGCCUCUCAUCUCCCAUUACUCAUUUCUCUUUGUAGAAAUUCAUUGCUUCUCUCUCCCCCUGCUGUAUUACUGCACUCUAGUGACAAGAAAAGUUCCAAAUCUACAACAUGUUUCUCCCAUGACUUAUAGAAAUUCUUGUCAUGUAUUUUAACAAAUUGUCUUAAUCCCUCCAUUCCUGCUAGCAUUGUAUUUAUUGUUAAAUAACCACCCUUUGUUAUGCUUCCUGUUAAUAUGACUAUUGACUGGUAUGAUGGUCCAGGCAUUUAUGCCUUGCAAUUAAUUUCCAACAGUUUAAACCAUCCUAACCCCUUCAUUGCACCCCUUAUUUUGGUUAUCACUGCACUUAUUGCAUCACUAGCCACCUUCCCUACAAGGAGUCCACACUAUACAGACAAAUCAUGGAUAUCGAUCACUCUGGUACCUCUCUUUACUCAGCUUCAUCCAUUGCCAAUUCAUUUUAUGACAGCAUCUCCUCCUUUAUUUCCAACAGUGGUUUGACCCAUACUUUUAUUGCUUGUGGAUUUGCUCUUGUCUUAAUUUUUCUUAUUUUUUUUUUGCUUUCCAGUCCUCAUCCAAUACCUAGGGUGGACCAUUUGGCAAGUCCAAAUCGAACUGAAAUCUCUUCAGCUCAAAAAUUUUAAAAAGGGGGUAUAUGCUGGGAGCCAUCAGGCCACAACACCUUGACAGAGUCAUAGAUGGUAGCUAAGGAGGCCACAGAGUGACCCUUGGCAAGAUGUGAUUGCCCACUCAGUCCCCCUUACAUGACCUCUCUCAUCAUUACCCUUUCCUUGCAUGACCUCUCUCAUCAAUACCCCUUACUUAUGGAACUGACAUGAUUAUUAUUCCCCCUAGUCUCAGAAGGAAUAAUACAAGAGCAAAAUACCUGUACCCUAAUUCUCUAAAACAUCACCAAAAGAUCAGACCUUCAAACUCAAUCCCAAAAGGCUACUAUGGGUUAACUUUUACUUAGGUACAUAAUCCCCAGUGAAAAUGCAACUACAGGCCAAGCCCAAAACCUUCCCACUCACAGAAACCUAUUCUCAUGAAGCCAGCAUAUAAAUCAACCAUAAAGGCCUAUAGAAAAUGUACAGGUACACUAAGCUUCAAUAUGCCUCAGUGAAUCGACUUCACAAACCAGUAACCAAGAAACUCCCUAGUAAACCCUGAGAAAUGAUCAGUCUAAUAUUAAAUCUGAAUUGUGUCCCCAGCACCCCUCCACCUCAAUGAUAUGAUUGUUGAAUUGUCUUUUAAGAACUUCUGACUAAUUAUUCCAUUUUAUUAAAAGUAAUAAGUAAAUUUCCUUGAUUGUUUGUAAGUUCAACACUCCACAUAGGGUAGUGAGAAAAUUAAGCCACCUGUGAUGAAAUCAUUUAUCUUGUGUGAAACCUUUGUUCUGUCAAGAAUCUAUAACCAUAAUACAAGAAUAUAGAAUGUUAAUCAAGUGAUUUGUUAAAAGUUAAUGUAUCACUUUUCCAAUUAUCUCAAUUUAGACAUGUGUGUUGGGCAAUGUAUCUGUGUGCCACGAAAAUGGGUAUAAAAAUAAACACCAGGCCUGUGGAUGGCUGAGCA
ensembl:lncRNA